CAGUCGCCGCGGUUAUACAGAGGGUGCGAGCGUUAAUCGGAUUUACUGGGCGUAAAGCGUGCGUAGGCGGCUUUUUAAGUCGGAUGUGAAAUCCCUGAGCUUAACUUAGGAAUUGCAUUCGAUACUGGGAAGCUAGAGUAUGGGAGAGGAUGGUAGAAUUCCAGGUGUAGCGGUGAAAUGCGUAGAGAUCUGGAGGAAUACCGAUGGCGAAGGCAGCCAUCUGGCCUAAUACUGACGCUGAGGUACGAAAGCAUGGGGAGCAAACAGGAUUAGAUACCCCCGUAGUCCCUGUCUCUUAUAA
rnacentral:rRNA from 1 species